rnacentral:telomerase_RNA from 1 species
GAAAUACUAGUGAGUUAACGAGUAAUAAGGAAUGUUGCUAAGACAUGUCCUUAUGUUGUAAACCUAACCUAAACCUUUAUUCUUCAUUUACAUCUCUAAUGUACAAUUUCCCUCGUUAAACGACAUCUUGUACAUUAGCCUGGGUUUUGUCGUCCUGGUUCCAGGUAAAAUAAAACGGUGUCGUCGAGCACCUUUGACAGGAUAUUCUCGUUAACUCUUAUUUUU